CAGAUGCUGCAGUUAGCUGGGGGUCCACUCUACACCCUGGUUGCCUCAGUUUUUCCUGUACUUGGAGGUAUCAGCAGUGAAUGCUAUGAAACAGCAAAGAUGGCAGCCUGCCCCUUCCCCUGGAAGCUCCAUCCCAGGGCGGUACUGUCCUGUUGCCAGCAUGAGCACACAGUAUGUAGGGGGUGGCUGGAGACCCCAGUUGGGACAUCUCACCUAGUCAGGAGGAACGGGAUCAGGGAUCCACUUAAAGAAGCAGUUGGGCUGUUUUUGAUAGAGCAGUUGUGCUGUGUUGGGGAUCCCAUCAGCCCCUUGUUGGUUUGGGCUCUCCGAGGCCCACAGGCUGAACUGGCUGAGGUGCCCAACAGCCAAGUUGGUGGCCCGCCUUCCCCUCUGGGCACUCUGUCCCAGGGAAAAAUUAGAAGUCUGUUGGCCACAGAACAUGGGCGGGGGUGGCUGGAUACCCCAGCUGGCAUGAUCUACCCGUCAAGGAAAAGUGGAUCAGGGUCCCACUUAAAGAAGCCAUCUGGCCAUGCCUCAAUAGAACAGCCUUGUUGUGCUGGGAAACUGCUUCUGCCCUUGUUGGCUUGGACUCUCUAAAGCCCACUGGUUGGAAUGGCUGAGUCAUUCAAACAGCCAGCUUGGUGGCCCUCCUUUCCUCCCCUCCUCCCCUCCCCUCCUCCUUCCCUCCUCGCCUCCCCUCGGGCAUGCUAUUCCAGAAAGAGAUCAGGAUCCGUUUGUGGAAUACAGGCAGAGAUGGCUGGAGGCCCCGGUUGGGAGGUCCCUCCCAGUGAAGAGGAAUGGAUUGGGGCCCCACUUAAAGAAGCAACCUGGCCACGUUCAGGCAAUGCCGCUGUAGUGUUCUGGGAAGACCCUUCCUUGUUUGAACCAUAUGGAUUCUCCGAAGCCCAUAGACUGAAAUGGCUGAGUCAACCAAACAGUAGAGAUGGCAGCCCACCCCUCCCACUGGGGACUCUGUCCCAUCACAGAUCCAGUUAUUAAACAUUACCAGCACAACAUUGGCUUCUUAUUCCUCAGUUUACCAGGCUGUUACUCAAAAUUCACUCUCCAGCCCUGCUUUGGAGCAGUUGGGAACUUCAGCAUUUUGAUCCACCUUUUUGGAGCCACCUCAUGUGAAAGAUGGAUGAGACCUUCGUCAGCAAACCUGUCUACGUAGGAGCUGGUAUGAGGAUCACACAAUGCAAGCAAAUAAAAUGAGAAAAGAUGAUUCAACAAGAGGCUUCACUGAUUUACUGUUUAACUGCUUUGACCAAAGUGCUUGGUUCUUAUAUGAAUAAGAAAGGGGAUGAGUUAUCCACCAGAAUGAAAGUUAUAUUCUGGUUUGAAGCUUCUGCUGUCAGAUAAUAUAGUUUUCUAUAGUGUGGAAGAACAGCAUCAUCUUCAAGCAAGGUGGAAUUAAGCAUGGACAGAACUGUGUUUCUCACCCAGGAGGAGGUAUGAAAGUUUUCAAGACGCCUACAAGUGGAAAAUGCACUCCUCCCAGCCAAAUCAAGCUUCGCCAGAUUCCUUACAGCUGUGUGCAGUGAAAUGACUAAUGAAAGAGCCCUCUGCUGCUGGUGGAACUUUCACAUAUGGCACUGUUAUGCCACUCAGCAGGACCCGACCCUGGUAUUUACAUAUUGGAUGUCACCCCAAAAGCCCCUGACCAGGGGGUUUCCGGGAUGUAAUAAGAAUGCCACUCUGGGCUUUGGAAGGUGCACCGUAUGCACACCCAUACUAUAGGGCAGGGGUUAGCAUUUCAGACCCCUGUUCCUCCCUUGACAAGCAAGUGCUUUUCUCCAGGGAAGACGUUCAGGUUCAUUCAUAGAUCCAUUGGUGCCGUGGGCAGCUCAGUAACAAUAGCUCUGCUGCCUACCAGCUGCUGGUGGAGGUGUUGAGAAUACCUAAUGAGGAAGUCAGGGCCCCUGCGUGCUUCAGCAGAGCUGGAUGCCUGGCAUGGCAAUCAAUGGACACAAACCUUUGGAUAAUUUCCGUCCUUGGCGGUGUGUUCUAUAGCAUAGGUAUGAAGUGGGUGCUCUGGGAGCUCAGAAGAGGGGCUCUUCUCUUAACUUAUGGGUGGCCAGGGAAGGCUUCCUGGAGCUCAAAUGACUGAGUGGAGUCUUCAACAUUAAAAAAAAAAAAAAGAAAAAAAAAGUGCUUCCCUCCCACCCCCAGUUAAAAAGGUAAUACACCUCAUUGAAAUAAUUUAAACUUUACAGAAAUGUGUUCCUUUAAAGUUCAGAGAGUAAAGAGGAAGUAAUAAAGCUGAAAUAGUAGAAUUUCUA
rnacentral:lncRNA from 1 species